GCGUCGGCGGGCGGGAGGAGGGAGCAAGACCCGGCGCUUUUUGUUUGCAGCUGAGUCCGGAGAGCUGGAUUCCCUGGCGCGGAUUCUCCCAGCCGAGUGGAUUCCCCAGCUGCAGGCGGGAGCCGUUCCAAGAGCUUCGCGGGGCGCGGCUUGGCAGCAGAGCCCCGGCUGCUCGGCCCCCGCAGACGGCACCUUCUCGCUCGCGGUCCCGGACGGGGAGGGCGGCUCCAGUGCAAUAGCUCGGGGAGCACGCGGGCUGCGUCCGGAAGGGACCCAAGUCUGCGAGCGGAGAGCAAACGGGGCGGAAAUUCGUUCUUCCCACACUCUGCCCGCGGGGACGCAGGCGGAGAAAGAGGAGACGGCAGAGGGAGGACAGACCCCGGCAGGGGGAGGAGGAAACACUAAGUGGCUCCGCGUCUGGUCAGCCCGGGCCCGGGAUGCCAAGUGAGAAAAGUGCCACCCUGCGGGAAGUUUGGGCAGCACGGAGUCCGCCAGCAUUCUACAGGAAGUUUGGGGGAGCACAAGGUUGCCUGCAGAAGGCCAUCAGAAGGGGGUAGGUGAACCCAGUCUGACAGUUGCUGCUUGGGUUUUGACGUCGUUGGACUAGUAGCUGAGGAGAGGCACCACCCCCUUUUAGGUGUCUGAAGGGAGUAUUUACUCCAUCCUGCUGUGGGCUAGAACAUGAAGAAAUCACAGAACUGGUUCUGCCAACAUGAAAGUGUCUCUGCCACAUUUUGGUGAUUCAGUCGCAUUAACUCUCCUACAGUAAUAGAGCCCCUGGGGUAGGCUCUGCUCGUGUGCACAUACAUAAUAACCUUCACAGAUCCUAAGGUAAACGUUCCUUGCAGGGCCCUCCUGCUUUACGCCUGGACUUGCAGUGAUCUUCAAAGUCUUUAGGCCCAAAAAUGUUCAGGCCUGGCUCAGUUGGGGAAGCAUUAUUAUUUAUUAUCUCUAGGGAAUGGAGCAUUUAAUCAACGGCUCCUUUGGGAUCAGCCCCUGCUGAGAAUGAGAAUACACAAGGAGGAGUUGUUAAUUAUUAAUUAUUGUUUCUUUAUAUAAACCAUCUUGCUAAAAAAUAAGGGCCCUUCCCCUAUCCAAGGUGUUGAGAAAACGUAAGUUUUGAGGACGUACUCUGCAACAAUGUGGAAAAUUAAAGGAAAGAUACAGAUCCUCACCUGAAGACAAUGACAAUCUAGUGGGAAGGGCAAUGAAUGCAUUGAAAGGUUAGAUAAUAAUAUAAGGCAGUAAUAGAGAACACCACAAAAACAAAAAUUAUUUUUUUUGAGGUGGGAUCUCACUCUGUUGCCCAGGCUGGAGUGCAGUGGCAUAAUCUCCGUUCAAUGCAGCCAUGACCUCCAGGGCUCAAGUGAUCUGCCCACCUCAGCUUCCCUAAUAGCUGGGACUAACAGGCCCUUGUCACAAUGACCAGCUAAUUUUUGUAUUUUUUAUAAAGGGGGAGUUUUGCCAUGUUGCCAGGCUGGCAUCGAACUCCUGGUCUCAAGCGAUCCUCCCACCUUGGCCUCCCAAAGUGCUAGGAUUACAGGUAUGAGCCACACCACACAGGGUGACAAAUGAUUUUUAAUAAUUCUAUGUUUCACAGUAAUUGCCCCAUUUAGCAAUUAAUAUAGUCAAGUGAUAGAGGGAAGUUCUGAAUUUAGAGAAAGAUGAGAUCGUUGGCAGGGUAGUCAGUGGUGACUUCGUGGGUGAGCAGGGACCUUGGCUUUGCAGGGAGGUGAGUCAAUGAUAAUUCCAGGAGAUGAGCGCUGAGGGGUGGAGCUGUGAUAGUCCUGAGGAGCAGCACCUGGCCUGAGAGUGUGAGGAAGGCGUCUAGAAGAGGGGAAACCUGUGCUGAGUUUGAGGGGUGAGUGGUAUUACCUAGAGGAAGGUGAGCAGACGCUCAAGGAGGAGAAGCCUGGGGACACAUGCAAGGAGGGAUUUAGAAACCUCCACAUCUUCUGUCUGCAUAUUUAGGGUGAGCUUUAUUAACUUAUUCUUUAACAGUAUCAUACACCCUAGCUUAUACAGUGACUUGAAAUAAAUAUUCCUUUAUUCCCCUUUAAGGAUUUCAGCAGGUAGCUGAUGUAAUCAUAUUUGCACUACAACCUCAAGAGGAAUCUCUGCCUAAAUAAACAAAGUAGGUGCUAUACAAAAAAAAUGUUGUCUUCCUAGUUCUUGCCUUCUAGGUCCUUGAAAUCUGUGACAGCAAUAGGUGUGAGAUGUGUGGAUAGAGCAUCCAGACUGAGGCAUUCAGCUAUACCACGCACAUAGGCAUCUUGUAGAUACUGUGAAUGCAUCUCCUCAACCAGGCCAAUGUGGGCGCUGUCUGUGGACCUUGUGCUUUACAGGGCUGUGUUCCAGUCCUCCUCUGGUUGUGCACCUUCCAAUAAGAGCAGGAUUUCAGGCCUCAAAGGAGAUGUGCACACCCAUACCCCGCUUCCUACUCAGAGUUCUCUAGACCCUGGAAUUCCCUGUGUAACUGCCUAAGUAUAUAUAGGCUGCCUUCACAUCUGUUUUCCUAGUGGCCAGUCAUGCCACAAGUGUGUAUACUCCUAGGGCCAAGGGAAGACCAAGGGGGCAGCUAUGCAAAAAAGAAUCUGGAGAUGCAGGCUGGAGUUUCCACUGGCAGGCCCCCAGAAGACCCCUCAUAAUGCAGGAGCCAGAGCUGGGAAGGACAGCCGUGGGCCAGUGAGUGACCUUUCACACUCUAAUCCUGGGCUUCUCAAAUUUUGAAGACAGGCCUGUCUAUAUGCAGCUGUUUUUGGAGGGGAGAAAGUAAAUGUACUUUGAUUUUAGAAAGUACAAGAAGAAAAAAAUCAGGAGUUUGAAGGAAAGUGGGUUUUUUGUUUUGUUUUGUUUUUUUCCUCACUGCAAUCUCUGCCUCCCAGGUUCAAGCAAUUCUCCUGCCUCAAGCCUCCUGAGUAGCUGGAAUUACAGGCGUGCACCACCACACCUAGCUAAUUUUUGUAUUUUUAGUAGAGAGAGAGUUUCACCAUGUUAGUCAGGCUGGUCUCAAACUCCUGACCUCAGGUGAUCCACCCCCCUCGGCCUCCCAAGGUGCCAGGAUUAUAGGCGUGAGCUACCACGCCUGGCUGGAAAGCGG
rnacentral:lncRNA from 1 species